rnacentral:rRNA from 1 species
UAGCGACAGGCUUAACACAUGCAAGUCGAGGGGCAGUGGGGAGAUAGCAAUAUCUCCGCCGGCGACCGGCGCACGGGUGAGUAACACGUAUGCAACCUGCCCCUUACAGGGGGAUAACCGGGAGAAAUUCCGACUAAUACCGCGUAUACCGCUUUGGGACAUCCCGGGGCGGCGAAAGGGCCUUCGGGUCCGGUAGGGGAUGGGCAUGCGGCGCAUUAGCCAGUAGGCGGGGUAACGGCCCACCUAGGCGACGAUGCGUAGGGGUUCUGAGAGGAAGGUCCCCCACAUUGGUACUGAGACACGGACCAAACUCCUACGGGAGGCAGCAGUGAGGAAUAUUGGUCAAUGGGCGCGAGCCUGAACCAGCCAAGUCGCGUGAGGGAAGACGGUCCUAUGGAUUGUAAACCUCUUUUGUCGGGGAGCAAAGGGAGCCGUGCGCGGCUUUAUAUGAGCGUACCCGAAGAAAAAGCAUCGGCUAACUCCGUGCCAGCAGCCGCGGUAAUACGGAGGAUGCGAGCGUUAUCCGGACUUAUUGGGUUUAAAGGGUGCGCAGGCGGACAGCGCAAGUCAGCGGUAAAAAUUCGGGGCUCAACCCCGUCCUGCCGUUGAGACUGCCUGACUGGAGUGCGGCAGAGGAAAGCGGAAUGCGAGGUGUAGCGGUGAAAUGCAUAGAUAUCACGCAGAACUCCGAUUGCGAAGGCAGCUUUCCAUGCCGUUACUGACGCUGAGGCACGAAAGCGUGGGGAUCGAACAGGAUUAGAUACCCUGGUAGUCCACGCAGUAAACGAUGAGUACUAGCUGUUUGGCAUAAACGAGUGCUGAGCGGCACAGCGAAAGCGUUAAGUACUCCACCUGGGGAGUACGCCGGCAACGGUGAAACUCAAAGGAAUUGACGGGGGCCCGCACAAGCGGAGGAACAUGUGGUUUAAUUCGAUGAUACGCGAGGAACCUUACCCGGGCUCAAACGGCAGGGGAAUGGCGGAGAGACCCGCCAGCCAGCAAUGGCCGCUGCCGAGGUGCUGCAUGGUUGUCGUCAGCUCGUGCCGUGAGGUGUCGGCUUAAGUGCCAUAACGAGCGCAACCCCCAUUUUCAGUUACUAACGGAUCAAGCCGAGGACUCUGGAAAGACUGCCGGCGCAAGCUGCGAGGAAGGCGGGGAUGACGUCAAAUCAGCACGGCCCUUACGUCCGGGGCGACACACGUGUUACAAUGGCGGGGAUACAGAGGGGAGCCAUGCCGCGAGGCAGAGCGGAUCCCGAAAACCCGUCUCAGUUCGGAUCGGAGUCUGCAACCCGACUCCGUGAAGCUGGAUUCGCUAGUAAUCGCGCAUCAGCCAUGGCGCGGUGAAUACGUUCCCGGGCCUUG